UACGGAGGGGGCAAGCGUUCUUCGGAAUUACUGGGCGUAAAGGGCUCGUAGGUGGCCAACUAAGUCAGACGUGAAAUCCCUCGGCUUAACCGGGGAACUGCGUCUGAUACUGGAUGGCUUGAGUUCGGGAGAGGGAUGCGGAAUUCCAGGUGUAGCGGUGAAAUGCGUAGAUAUCUGGAGGAACACCGGUGGCGAAGGCGGCAUCCUGGACCGACACUGACGCUGAGGAGCGAAAGCCAGGGGAGCAAACGGG
rnacentral:rRNA from 1 species